GACGGAGGAUGCAAGCGUUAUCCGGAAUGAUUGGGCGUAAAGCGUCCGCAGGGGGCAGUUCAAGUCUGCUGCCAAAGACCGGGGCUUAACUUCGGAAAGGCAGUGGAAACUGAACAGCUAGAGUAUGGUAGGGGCAGAGGGAAUUCCUGGUGUAGCGGUGAAAUGCGUAGAUAUCAGGAAGAACAUCGGUGGCGAAGGCGCUCUGCUGGACCAUAACUGACACUCAGGGACGAAAGCUAGGGGAGCGAAUGGG
rnacentral:rRNA from 1 species